rnacentral:rRNA from 1 species
CCUACGGGGGGCAGCAGUGGGGAAUAUUGGACAAUGGGGGGAACCCUGAUCCAGCCAUGCCGCGUGUGUGAAGAAGGCCCUCGGGUUGUAAAGCACUUUCAGUGAGGAAGAACGCCUGGUGGUUAAUACCCAUCAGGAAAGACAUCACUCACAGAAGAAGCACCGGCUAACUCCGUGCCAGCAGCCGCGGUAAUACGGAGGGUGCGAGCGUUAAUCGGAAUUACUGGGCGUAAAGCGCGCGUAGGUGGCUUGAUAAGCCGGUUGUGAAAGCCCCGGGCUCAACCUGGGAACGGCAGCCGGAACUGUCAAGCUAGAGUGUAGGUGAGGAAGGUAGAAUUCCUGGUGUAGCGGUGAAAUGCGUAGAGAUCGGGAGGAAUACCAGUUGCGAAGGCGGCCUUCUGGACCGACACUGACACUGAGGUGCGAAAGCGUGGGUAGCAAACAGGAUUAGAUACCCGUGUAGUC